GUUCGGAUUGCAGGCUGCAACUCGCCUGCAUGAAGCUGGAAUUGCUAGUAAUCGCGGAUCAGCAAGCCGCGGUGAAUACGUUCCCGGGCCUUGUACACACCGCCCGUCACACCAUGAGAGUCGGGAACACCCGAAGUCCGUAGUCUAACCGCAAGGGGGCGCGGCCGAAGGUGGGUCCGGUAAUUGGGGUGAAGUCGUAACAAGGUAGC
rnacentral:rRNA from 1 species